CGGCUCAUUAAAUCAGCUACAAUCUGCGUGGGAAAGGUGCCUUACGGCGUCCAGUCGGAUAACAAUGGUAACUCCAUUGCUAAUACGUGUCCGUCAAUUCCGUCGCAGGUUCCACUCAGUGCUUUCGGGUACUGGGCUGAGGCGGAAGCAGUUAACCGAAAGAAAAACCAGCGCUAGCGAUAGCAGUGGUCUUUGGAUGAAACAGGUUAACCGAGCGAUAGCACAGUGGCCUUGAGCCGGUGCAAGCCCACAAGAGUAUCUGCCCUAUCAGCUUUGACGGUAGUGUAGUGGACUACCGUGGCUGUAACGGGUAACGGGGAAUUAGGGUUCGAUUCCGGAGAGGGAGCCUGAGAAACGGCUACCACAUCUAAGGAUGGCAGCAGGCGCGCAAAUUGCCCAAUAGCAACACAGCUGAGGCAGCGAAGAGAAAUAGUAACUUCUGUCACUCUGUGUCAUGUAGAUUGCAAUGGAUGAUAUCUAAACCUGUCAGUGAGUAUCAAUUGGUGGACAAGUCUGGUGCCAGCACCCGCGGUAAUUCCAGCACCAAUAGCGUAUAUUAAUGCUGCUGCUGUUAAAAAGCUCGUAGUUGGAUCCAGAGCUCAGGUUGUAGGACUGCCUUUCGUGUGGCGGACGAGUAAUUCUGAAGUCUCGUGUUAGGAACACACAGACUACGUUAAGACCUGGGCUCUAUGAACGGUGGUAAUGGUACCUUGUGAGUAGCCUCUCGAGGUGAAAACGCUUUCGCGUAUACCAUGCGCAUACGGGUYGACCACCGAAGUUACUGUGAACAAACCAGCGUGCCCAAAGCAGGCCCCGUCUUGAAUGGUAAAGCAUGGAAUAACAAGGGAUCGAUUCUCUCGGUUCAUUUUGUUGGUUUUUAACCCGAGAAGAAGGAAUUAAAGCUGCGGACUCUUCUGAUUGUCUUCGGACUUUCUUAAGACCGUAGCCCAGCGGGAUCAAUAGGGACUGCCGGGGUCGUACGUACUCCCUCGUCAGAGGUGAAAUUCUUAGAUCGUGGGAAGACGAACUUCUGCGAAAGCAUUCGACAAGAAUGUCUUCAUUAAUCAARAACGARARUGKGGGGNAUCGAAGAUGAUCAGAUACCGUCGUARUCCACGACCGUAAACGAUGCCGUCUCAGGAUCGAAGGGUGCACCUUAAUGGCCCCUACGGCACUACCCUUGAAACGAGAAAUCAAAGAUUAUGGGUUCAGGGGGGAGUACAUUCGCAAGGCUGAAACUUAAAGGAAUUGACGGAAUGACACCACCAGGCGUGGAGUAUGCGGCUUAAUUUGACUCAACACGGGGAAUUUUACUAGGUCAGGACAAUGUAAGGAUUGACAGAUUGAGAGCUUUUUCUUGAUUAAUUGUGUGGUGGUGCAUGGCCGCUCCUGGUUGGUGGAGUGAUUUGUCUGGUUGAUUCCGUUAACGAACGAGAUCUCGACCCUUAAAUAGGUGUACUUGUAGCCCAUUUGGCAAAAGUUAGCUAGUUCGCUAGCCGACUUUUGAUACAGGGUAUUACUUCUUAAGGGGACUGCGCGCGUCCAUAGCGUGCGGAAGAGCGAGCCAAUAGCAGGUCUGUGAUGCUCCUAAAUGUCCUAGGCUGCACGCGCACUACACUGACGCAUUCAACGAGUCUGAUUGUCAUUUGACAACCUAUCUUGAAGAGGACGGGAAACCUUUUGAACNUGCGUCGUGAUGAGGAUCGAUGAUUGCAAUUAUUCUCCUUGAAUGAGGAAUGCCUAGUAGGCGCAAGUCAUCAGCUUGCACUGAUUACGUCCCUGCCAUUUGUACACACCGCCCGUCGUUGCUACCGAUUGGCUGUGGGAUAGAGCUUGGGGGAGGUUGUCGCUUUCGGGCUUCCGAUUGUGGCGUUCCGAAUCCAA
rnacentral:rRNA from 1 species